ensembl:misc_RNA Y_RNA Y RNA
GGCUGGUCCGAUGGCAGUGGGUUACCAGAACUUACCUAAGUUAGUAUCACUAACCCCCCACUGCUUGACUGGCUUAAA